AUUCUAGAAGCCUUGACUCUGGUCUUGGGGGGUUUUGGGAUGGGAACCUCUAUUUAGGUGCGGCUGAAUUGAUGGAGUGGACUUCAUGCUUCUGUUUUUGUUGCUAAUGGAUUUAGGAUCAGCUGGCCAAAAGUCUUUGUUUUUAGAUGGGGCUGGAAAUUGAUGAGUGGAUUUAAAUACUACUGGAUGGUUGCCAUGAGAUCGAGGUGUGGCUGGACACUAGCCAAUGGACUGAGGUGUGGCCGGAGAUUGAUAAAUACGUUUAGGUGCGGCUGAAAACUGAAAAUGCGAUGUAUACAAAAGUAACUUUUCGUCUGCCUACAUUCUUAGUAGGUUUUGAAAGAAGAGUUUAUUUUUCAUUAUGAUAUAUUCAUUAAUCUGUCUGUUUUAACACAUUAGGAGUUUCUUUCCUUUUCCUUAUGGUUGCUAUGUAAUAAUUCAUGUAAAUGGGAGUUUAUUCACAUCAUUUGUUGCAAUUUGCCAAUUGACAAGCCAGUACCAAGUUAAAAAAAUCUUCAUCUUAGUUACCAUGUGAUUUAAAAUUGAAAAAA